rnacentral:rRNA from 1 species
UACACUCCUGCGGGAGGCAGCAGUGGGGAAUAUUGCACAAUGGGCGCAAGCCUGAUGCAGCCAUGCCGCGUGUAUGAAGAAGGCCUUCGGGUUGUAAAGUACUUUCAGCGGGGAGGAAGGCGAUAAGGUUAAUAACCUUGUUGAUUGACGUUACCCGCAGAAGAAGCACCGGCUAACUCCGUGCCAGCAGCCGCGGUAAUACGGAGGGUGCAAGCGUUAAUCGGAAUUACUGGGCGUCAAGCGCACGCAGGCGGUCUGUCAAGUCGGAUGUGAAAUCCCCGGGCUCAACCUGGGAACUGCAUUCGAAACUGGCAGGCUAGAGUCUUGUAGAGGGGGGUAGAAUUCCAGGUGUAGCGGUGAAAUGCGUAGAGAUCUGGAGGAAUACCGGUGGCGAAGGCGGCCCCCUGGACAAAGACUGACGCUCAGGUGCGAAAGCGUGGGGAGCAAACAGGAUUAGAAACCCCGGUAGUCCCAUGA